AUUGAACGCUGGCGGCAUGCUUUACACAUGCAAGUCGAACGGUAACAGGCCUUCGGGUGCUGCCGAGUGGCGAACGGGUGAGUAAUGCAUCGGAACGUACCCAGAGGUGGGGGAUAACGCAGCGAAAGCUGUGCUAAUACCGCAUGUGAUCUGAGGAUGAAAGCGGGGGACCGAGCAGCAAUGUUUGGCCUCGCGCCUUUGGAGCGGCCGAUGUCGGAUUAGCUAGUUGGUGGGGUAAAGGCCUACCAAGGCGACGAUCCGUAGCUGGUCUGAGAGGACGACCAGCCACACUGGGACUGAGACACGGCCCAGACUCAUACGGGAGGCAGCAGUGGGGAAUUUUGGACAAUGGGCGCAAGACUGAUCCAGCAAUGCCGCGUGCGGGAAGAAGGCCUUCGGGUUGUAAACCGCUUUUGGCAGGAACGAAACGGUGUCCGCUAAUACCGGGCGCUAAUGACGGUACCUGCAGAAUAAGCACCGGCUAACUACGUG
rnacentral:rRNA from 1 species